rnacentral:rRNA from 1 species
AAAUAGCACGUGAAAUUGUUGAAAGGGAAGGUUUAUGACCAGACUUUUCUAGGGGGAUCAUCCGGUGUUCUCACCGGUGCACUUCCCCUAGUUGAGGCCAGCAUCGGUUUCUGUCGAGGGAUAAAAGCUUUAGGAAUGUGGCUCUCUCCGGGGAGUGUUAUAGCCUGUUGCAUAAUACCUUGACGGGGACCGAGGUUCGCGCAUUGCAAGGAUGCUGGCGUAAUGGUUAUUAAUCACCCGUCUUGAAACACGGACCAAGGAGUCGAACAUUUGUGCGAGUGUUUGGGUGUUAAACCCUCACGCGUAAUGAAAGUGAACGGAGGUGAGAGCCUUUAGGGGUGCAUCAUCGACCGAUCCUGAUGUCUUCGGAUGGAUUUGAGUAAGAGCAUAACUGUUCGGACCCGAAAGAUGGUGAACUAUGCGUGGAUAGGGUGAAGCCAGAGGAAACUCUGGUGGAGGCUCGCAGCGGUUCUGACGUGCAAAUCGAUCGUCAAAUCUGCGCAUGGGGGCGAAAGACUAAUCGAACCAUUGACCAGCGGUCAAAACAAUCACUAGGUGGUUAAGAGGGGGUCCGCGAGGACCAUUUGAAAAACCUAGGCUGAAGCCCGGUUACCCUGUAG